CAGGCUGUACAACCCUGGAUCAAUUAUGACAGGCUUGGCUCUCUGAUACUCCUUCCAACCAAUGUCACUGGUGUGCUCAAUAAAAUUAAGGUUUCUUGGAAUGGUAGACAAAGUUUGAAGCAGAUCAUCUUGAGUGAGCAAGGGAUAAUCGGAAGCACUCAAAUUGAUAAACCAAUCCCAGUCCCCACCAUCUCUUAACAAAAUGGCCGCAGCAUGAAGGGUAUUACUAACCAUAGUAGGACCUCUAUACGUUACCAAAUUAGACCUCACAACAACCCUCACAUUCCCCACCUCCUU
rnacentral:misc_RNA from 1 species